UGGGGAAUAUUGGGCAAUGGGCGGCAAGCCUGACCCAGCAACGCCGCGUGAAGGAAGAAGGCUUUCGGGUUGUAAACUUCUUUUCUCAGGGACGAAGCAAGUGACGGUACCUGAGGAAU
rnacentral:rRNA from 1 species